AUAAUUUCAUAAUAAAUGCCAUGACAGAAAUAAUAAGAAUUACAAACAAAAAACAAACAAAAAAAUAUAUACUAGUAUAACUAAAAACGCUACCAUGAUUUAUUAAUACUUUGAAAUUUAAAUAAUACAAUUCAUUUUUUUUUUAAUUACAAAAAUUCAUGUUUAAUUGUCAUAAAAAUAACGCGAUUUUGAGGUUAAAUGUGACGGUCACAUGAUCUCGAGUGGUUUCUCGGGAUUGGCUCUCAGUGUUUCUGUGGUCAUGUGACUCAGCGGGUUUGUGGUUUCGGCAAGUCUUGUAGUUUCUCUUCUCUCCGUCUGAGAGAUUCACUGGUUCCAAUGGAACGCACACAAUGAGAGAUUCAACGGCAGCGGUUUCACCGAAUCACGACAUCACGAGUCAGCAAAUCCUGAUGUCAUUUCCUGUCGGUGAUCUCGUUAUGAUGACGGUCAUUCAUCCUAACAAACAUGCAAAAACUUCAAUCACAAGUGCUUUUUUUAUUGAUUCGUGUUUUUUUUUUAAGCAUUGGACAAUUGUUCAUAUUUGUAUAUUGUUGUUUUGUUUUUUUUUUGUAUCAUUUUUGAAUGAUAAUGAUGAAUGAAUGAUCAAGCUUCUUCUGGAUUGAACUGGAUUUGAAGUCUUAAAUUCUUUUAUUAUUAUUAUUAUUAUUAUUAUUACUGCAGUAAAUCCAAACUUCAGAGUCUGUAUUGGACUGACGAUGAAGUUACUGCAGCUUUACUUGAGUUGCAGGAGCUGGAAAGUUCCUGCUGUUUGAACGGUUCUUCUCGUAAUAAAGAUUUCGUGCGACAGGAUUGAACUGGAUUUACCGAUGAAUGUUGAUCUCAGUACAUCUGAACGAUUUCAAGCUCUUUUGAGAGAGUAAACUGACAGUUUCACUCACACUUUACAAUAACGUCCCAUCUGUUAGUUACGAUACACUCGCUAACAACAUUUUUACAGCAUUUAUUAACACAACUUGUGCAUUUCAUAAUGUUAACUUGUGGCCCUCUAGUGGUUUCAAGUAAAACUGCACGUAUGUUGCAGAAGAACAUUGUUGUGGUUGUGCUUCAGCUCUGCGAAUGAAUAUGAAUAAUAUUAUUAUUCUAUUGCCCAUAAAACAUACGCUCAAGAGAUAUAAACAAACGUUACUGUGGCUUUACGCAUUAAUACAUGGUACUUUGAAAGUAAAGUUAAGAUUAUUACACGCAUUAAUGAAUGUAGUCAACAGAGGGAACGUUAUUAUAAAGUGUCACCACAUUAUUAUUAUUAUUAUUAAUGCUGCUGUAAUUACAUUUCUGAUGGUUAUUUGACGUUGUUCUGGGUUUGAUGAGCUGCUUUUGUCUAAUGAAUCGAGCACUUUUUCAUUGUAAAAUCUAAUUUCAAAUCAAACAAGUGGUUCUUUGUCUGAGAUUUCAAAGGAAAUAAACUGAUAAGCUAGUGAAUGUUUGAUUAAUGCUGUUGAUUAUUAUAAUAACCUGCUUUUGUGUUUUUAUUUGGGAUGAAGUCGAUGUUCAAUGAGAAUUAUUUUGUUCUUCUGAAACGUGUAUUAAUCCAUGAUCUUACGGGAGCUUUGACUAAUAAACCAGGUGUUCAUUA